rnacentral:rRNA from 1 species
UUCCUACGGGACGCAGCAGUGAGGAAUAUUGGUCAAUGGGCUUACGCCUGAACCAGCCAAGUCGCGUGAGGGAAGACUGCCCUAUGGGUUGUAAACCUCUUUUGUCAGGGAGCAACGCCGGCUACGUGUAGCCGGACUGAGAGUACCUGAAGAAAAAGCAUCGGCUAACUCCGUGCCAGCAGCCGCGGUAAUACGGAGGAUGCGAGCGUUAUCCGGAUUUAUUGGGUUUAAAGGGUGCGUAGGCGGAAUGCCAAGUCAGCGGUAAAAGCCCGGGGCUCAACCCCGGCGAGCCGUUGACACUGGCU